UGGUUUCUCAGCAUACUUAAUGAAUGCAUACAUGGGUACACCACUUAGAACAGCCACUAGCAAGUCCAACAACAAAUGUCAGAGUCCCAUCUCGGACGUGGAGCACAACGUAACUUUGUAAGGGGUACUAGUGAAGAAGCAAUGUGGCAUCCACUUGCAAAGAUAUGCAAUCUUCUCUACAGCCCACAGGCACCACAAAAUGGACAGAACUAACUUCAGCACAAACAAAAGACUAUCCCAGGUUCCCAACAAAUACUUGUCAGCACAAUGAAUCAAAAUCAUACCAUUUCGCUUUCCCAUUAGGCAAACUUUCAUACUCAUUGAUCUAUGUUCUUUCUCCACAUAUUCCUUGGAUGAUACUUCUAUCCUCAUUCCACUUGCAUAUUGAAACCAAAUAAUUCCCUUUCAAGUGACAACUUAUUGAUUUUUUUCAAUACAACACAAAGGCUAAACAAUUCAAAACCCCAACAAUUGUUAUCAAAAUCCCAAGAAAAAUAAAAGGGGCAGCAACUAAAAGAAACCCAUAUUCCAUUCAAAGCCACAAACCCCAUAAAAGAUAACAAGAAUCAAGCAAGACCGUAAAGUAUUUAUUUAGCUCAUAAAAAUCCCACAAUUACCAAUGGAUUCAUUUUCAGCCACAGCAAAAAUAAGCCAAUAUCGGAUAGUGCCCAAUGUAAGAGGCAUAGAUUCCCAUGGAUUAAACUUUAGGGUUUAAUGAAAGAUUUAAUUAAAAGAAUUAGGGUUUGGGUUAAGCGGAUUUACCCUCAUUUUUCCAUUUUGAGAACUGCAAGAAGCAGAAGUUUAUUCUAGCCUUAAACGGCGCCGCUUAAAUUGCAUAUAACCCGG
rnacentral:lncRNA from 1 species